rnacentral:lncRNA from 1 species
UGUGCCGUGUGUGUGUGUGUGUGUGUGUGUGCGCGCACGCACACGCAUGUGUGGGCGUGUGCAUACAUUUAUGUUUGUGUGUGCAUGUGUGUAUGCAGCUGUUCGUGUGUGUGUCCUGAUGUGUACGUGUGUGCAUGCAUACAGGUGCAUACGUAUGCAUGUGCUCAUGACCCUGCCUGUGUGUGCAUGUGUGCACAUAAAGUGGACCCAGGGUGGGAGGGGAGAGGCAUCCUGCUGGAUGUUUUUGUUUUCCUCCAUGACCAGUGACUCCGGAAAGUCCCCUGGCACACAUCUCAGGAACCAGGAAGCAAGUGAUCACAGAUCAGAGCAGGAAGAAGGCAGGUGAUGCUGCUUGGUCCUCUUUGGGUGUGGGGAGCUUGCAAGCAGCGACAGGUGCUCAGGGGCAGACCCGGCGCUGCGGACGGACCGUGAGAAAGCACCCCACCUCGGUUCUGCAGGAGACCAGAAGGCCGUCAGCAUGGAACAUCUGGGCACAUCUCAGAUUCGCGGCUUCCUGUGGGUUGUCUUGGCCCAGAAACCGCAGGAAUCUGCCCUCACCCAGCUGGGGAGGCUGGUUUCCAGGCUCCGAGCACUUAUCACACGUUAUUUUGUGCAUCUGCCUCUGGGCCUGCCUCUCCCCCUGGGGCAGAGCCCGACUGGCUUCCCCUGUGCUGUCCCACGGUGUCACAAGGCCAGGGACAUGGUUGGGGCUCAAUCUAUGCUUGAACGUGGGAUGCCAGAACCUCACUGAGCCUUCCAGGUUCCAGAAUUGCCCGGCCACUCCGGCCAGCUUCCAGUCUCCCGCUCCCCCCAAGGGCCAGCGGUGGACGCCAAGUCCAUCCUGGUGCCCCCAGCCUCCUCCCUUCCAGUGGGUCAUUGCUCUCCCUCCUCCCUAAAAACUGCACGUGUGCCUCGAGCUCCCCUUCCAGGACCAUUUACCUCUGCAGGCUGGUCUGUCCUGCCUCUUGCUCAGGCUGCUUGUGCUGUGAGUUUGGCCUCUGGCUCGCUGGGGACCAGAAAAACAAAAUUUAUCAUCUGGCUGCCCUAUUUUUUUUUCUUUCUUUCUUUCUUUCCUUUUUUCCCCCCCAAGAACGAAGCAAGCACUUCUCUACCAUCCUCAGAAAGAGCUUUAAACAUGGCAGGCCACUGGCAAAAAAUGUCCUCCUUCUCAGAGGGAAGGAGUGCAACCGUUAACAAUAAAAAAAAAAAAUCCCUGGGAUUUAUGGGGGCC